rnacentral:rRNA from 1 species
UACGGAGGGUGCGAGCGUUGUCCGGAAUCACUGGGCGUAAAGGGCGCGUAGGCGGUCACGCACGUCCGGGGUGAAAUCUUUCGGCUUAACCGGAAAGGGCCCUGGAUACGGCGUGACUGGAGGGGGAGAGGGGCGGACGGAACUUCCGGUGGAGCGGUGAAAUGCGUUGAUAUCGGAAGGAACGCCGGUGGCGAAAGCGGUCCGCUGGAUCCCUACUGACGCUGAGGCGCGAAAGCGUGGGGAGCAAACAGG